rnacentral:rRNA from 1 species
UACGUAGGUGGCAAGCGUUGUCCGGAUUUACUGGGCGUAAAGAGCGCGCAGGCGGUCGUUCAAGUCGCGUGUGAAAGCCCCCGGCUCAACUGGGGAGGGUCACGCGAUACUGAUCGACUCGAAGGCAGGAGAGGGUAGUGGAAUUCCCGGUGUAGUGGUGAAAUGCGUAGAUAUCAGGAAGAAUAUCCGUGGCGAAGGCGGCUCUCUGGUACGGCACUGACGCUGAGACGCGAAAGCGUGGGGAGCAAACAGG